UAGCAUACGGAGUGGCAGACGGGUGAGUAACGCGUGGGAAUCUACCCAGUGGUACGGAACAACCAGGAGAAAUUCUGGCUAAUACCGUAUACGUCCUUCGGGAGAAAGAUUUAUCGCCAUUGGAUGAGCCCGCGUCGGAUUAGCUAGUUGGUAAGGUAAUGGCUUACCAAGGCUACGAUCCGUAGCUGGUCUGAGAGGAUGAUCAGCCACAUUGGGACUGAGACACGGCCCAAACUCCUACGGGAGGCAGCAGUGGGGAAUAUUGGACAAUGGGCGCAAGCCUGAUCCAGCCAUGCCGCGUGAGUGAUGAAGGCCCUAGGGUUGUAAAGCUCUUUCAGCGGGGAAGAUAAUGACGGUACCCGCAGAAGAAGCCCCGGCUAACUUCGUGCCAGCAGCCGCGGUAAUACGAAGGGGGCUAGCGUUGUUCGGAAUCACUGGGCGUAAAGCGUACGUAGGCGGAUUGUUAAGUCAGGGGUGAAAUCCCGAGGCUCAACCUCGGAACUGCCUUUGAUACUGGCUGUCUUGAGUCCGGGAGAGGUGAGUGGAACUCCUAGUGUAGAGGUGAAAUUCGUAGAUAUUAGGAAGAACACCAGUGGCGAAGGCG
rnacentral:rRNA from 1 species